rnacentral:rRNA from 1 species
GACGAACGCUGGCGGCGUGCUUAACACAUGCAAGUCGAACGGAAAGGCCCUGCUUUUGUGGGGUGCUCGAGAGGCGAACGGGUGAGUAACACGUGAGUAACCUGCCCCUGACUUUGGGAUAACUUCAGGAAACUGGGGCUAAUACCGGAUAGGAGCUCCUGCUGCAUGGUGGGGGAUGGAAAGUUUCGGCGGUUGGGGAUGGACUCGCGGCAUAUCAGCUUGUUGGUGGGGUAGUGGCUUACCAAGGCUUUGACGGGUAGCCGGCCUGAGAGGGUGACCGGCCACAUUGGGACUGAGAUACGGCCCAGACUCCUACGGGAGGCAGCAGUGGGGAAUAUUGCACAAUGGGCGGAAGCCUGAUGCAGCAACGCCGCGUGCGGGAUGACGGCCUUCGGGUUGUAAACCGCUUUCGCCUGUGACGAAGCGUGAGUGACGGUAAUGGGUAAAGAAGCACCGGCUAACUACGUG